CUGCGUACCUUUUGUAUAAUGGGUCAGCGACUUAUAUUCUGUAGCAAGGUUAACCGAAUAGGGGAGCCGGAGGGAAACCGAGUCUUAACCGGGCGUUAAGUUGCAGGGUAUAGACCCGAAACCCGGUGAUCUAGCCAUGGGCAGGUUGAAGGUUGGGUAACACUAACUGGAGGACCGAACCGACUAAUGUUGAAAAAUUAGCGGAUGACCUGUGGCUGGGGGUGAAAGGCCAAUCAAACCGGGAGAUAGCUGGUUCUCCCCGAAAGCUAUUUAGGUAGCGCCUCGUGAAUUCAUCUCCGGGGGUAGAGCACUGUUUCGGCUAGGGGGCCAUCCCGGCUUACCAACCCGAUGCAAACUGCGAAUACCGGAGAAUGUUAUCACGGGAGACACACGGCGGGUGCUAACGUCCGUCGUGAAGAGGGAAACAACCCAGACCGCCAGCUAAGGUCCCAAAGUCAUGGUUAAGUGGGAAACGAUGUGGGAAGGCCCAGACAGCCAGGAUGUUGGCUUAGAAGCAGCCAUCAUUUAAAGAAAGCGUAAUAGCUCACUGGUCGAGUCGGCCUGCGCGGAAGAUGUAACGGGGCUAAACCAUGCACCGAAGCUGCGGCAGCGACACUGUGUGUUGUUGGGUAGGGGAGCGUUCUGUAAGCCUGUGA
rnacentral:rRNA from 1 species